rnacentral:misc_RNA from 1 species
AGCAGCCGCGGUAAUUCCAGCUCCAAUAGCGUAUAUUAAAGUUGUUGCAGUUAAAAAGCUCGUAGUUGAAUUUCGGGGUCAGUAGGUUGGUCAUGCCUUUGGUAUGUACUGGUCUCACUGAUACCUCCCUCUUGAAGAACUGUAAUGUCAUUAAUUUGGUGUUGCGGGGAAUCAGGACUGUUACUUUGAAAAAAUUAGAGUGUUUAAAGCAGGCUUACGCUUGAAUACAUUAGCAUGGAAUAAUGAAAUAGGACGUUUGAUCCUAUUUUGUUGGUUUCUAGGAUUGACGUAAUGAUUAAUAGGGAUAGUUGGGGGCAUUAGUAUUCAAUUGUCAGAGGUGAAAUUCUUGGAUUUAUUGAAGACUAACUACUGCGAAAGCAUUUUGCCAAGGAUGUUUUCAUUAAUCAAGAACGAAAGUUAGGGGAUCGAAGACGAUCAGAUACCGUCGUAGUCUUAACCAUAAACUAUGCCGACUAGGGAUCGGAUGAUGUUAAUUUUUUCAAUGACUCAUUCGGCGCCU